AUUGAACGCUGGCGGCAUGCCUUACACAUGCAAGUCGAACGGUAACAGGUCUUCGGAUGCUGACGAGUGGCGAACGGGUGAGUAAUACAUCGGAACGUGCCUAGUAGUGGGGGAUAACUACUCGAAAGAGUGGCUAAUACCGCAUGAGAUCUACGGAUGAAAGCAGGGGAUCGCAAGACCUUGUGCUACUAGAGCGGCCGAUGGCAGAUUAGGUAGUUGGUGGGAUAAAAGCUUACCAAGCCGACGAUCUGUAGCUGGUCUGAGAGGACGAUCAGCCACACUGGGACUGAGACACGGCCCAGACUCCUACGGGAGGCAGCAGUGGGGAAUUUUGGACAAUGGGCGCAAGCCUGAUCCAGCCAUGCCGCGUGCAGGAUGAAGGCCUUCGGGUUGUAAACUGCUUUUGUACGGAACGAAAAGGUUUGGCCUAAUACGCUGAACUCAUGACGGUACCGUAAGAAUAAGCACCGGCUAACUACGUGCCAGCCGCCGCCGUAAGAC
rnacentral:rRNA from 1 species